rnacentral:rRNA from 1 species
AGCGAACGCUGGCGGCAGGCUUAACACAUGCAAGUCGAACGGGCACUUCGGUGCUAGUGGCAGACGGGUGAGUAACGCGUGGGAACGUACCUUUCGGUUCGGAAUAACCCAGGGAAACUUGGGCUAAUACCGGAUACGCCCUUUUGGGGAAAGAUUUAUCGCUGAAGGAUCGGCCCGCGUCUGAUUAGCUAGUUGGUGAGGUAAAGGCUCACCAAGGCGACGAUCAGUAGCUGGUCUGAGAGGAUGAUCAGCCACACUGGGACUGAGACACGGCCCAGACUCCUACGGGAGGCAGCAGUGGGGAAUAUUGGACAAUGGGCGCAAGCCUGAUCCAGCCAUGCCGCGUGAGUGAUGAAGGCCUUAGGGUUGUAAAGCUCUUUCGGCGGGGACGAUAAUGACGGUACCCGCAGAAGAAGCCCCGGCUAACUUCGUGCCAGCCGCCGCGGUAAUAC